rnacentral:tRNA from 1 species
GGCCUCGUAGCUCAGUUGGUUAUAGCUUUGGCUGUAUUAAAGCCUUCCGCUUGUUGACGUGGGUUCAAAUCCCACCGAGGCCA